rnacentral:rRNA from 1 species
AAGAAGAUACUAAGGGCGCACGGCGGAUGCCUUGGCACAGGAAGUCGAAGAAGGACGCGGCAA